UUAAAUGAAAGUCUGUUCUUUUGAAGAUUCUUGACAAGAAGAUGCUGAGGAGGAAGGAUUGUGACAUUUACAGAAUCUCUUAGAGAAGUAACCAAGGUCCUUUGAGUAGGGGGAUGAUUGCUUUGAAACCCCUGGAGAGAACCAGAUGACAGAGUUUCAGAAAAGCUAGGAACCUUUCUAAACAAAUACACUCCCUGCAGAGAGAAUCAGAGCUGUUGAUCUUCUCAGCAAAAACACUACCUAGAUGUAGCCACAGUUAAUUACAUUCUGUUGACAAGAGGCACCUAAAACACUGUGCAUUUUAUCAUCAUGCAAUAGCAUAGAAAUGACAAGUUUUGACAAGUA